ACGGUGGAAUUCAUAGUCGUAGUAGGGGGCCCCUAAGGGGAUUAUUCAGCCGCUAUGUGUCGAAUUCAACCCCUACGCGUUUCAUAGACAAAAGAAACCCCUCAUUUGACAGGAGCUGGCGGCUGACUGCUGAAUUACCGAUAUUUGUCAGCCAAACCAUCCCCUGGCAUUUUUUUUGUUGUUAUUCGUGAUUUAUUUAUUAGAAAGUGGACGUUCGGAUUGUUAUAAGUGAAGUUAUAAACAGCGAGUUAUAUCAGUGCCCAAGAUAUAUAUUCGCAAUUGCGUAAACCCAGUAUAAUACUAUGACGAUAUGGAAUGUACGAAAGAUUCUCAUAUUAGGCAUAAUAUGCCUCUGUUUGAUGAAGAAUGAACACAGAAGACCAAGAGAGGAAUACCAAUACCGCUAGCAUUAUACAUUCUAGCAGCACUUCGAUUCUAUGAAACGGGAUGUUAUCAGACUGUAGGUGCAGUCCAUCAAGCAUUCUAUGAAAUAACAGAAAUGACAAAAGUCAAGCUGUAUUGAUGUCACGCAUAGGUUUACAUAUAAACAACCCCGGAGGACCCUAUACACAGAUUUAAAGAAACCGGCUAUCAUGGCAGGGAAUAGCAGUGAUGAGCUCUGAGAAUACUGUUUUACCAAGAAUACUGAGAAUACUUUGGUCCUUGAAAAUCUGAGUUUUCAGAUCACAGUAAUUGGAAGACCCUCAUACCUUGAAAAGUCAGCAGCAUUUAAUAUCGAAGUAGUAGGAGUGAGUGCAGUGUAUUGUAAGGUGGUCACUCACUCUGAAGUCCAUAACAAUAGAAAAUAUAUACAAAUCUUAAUUGAAUGAAUGAUGGAAAAUAAAAAUUUAUUGAUUAACAUCUUUAAUAAAGAUAAUUAUUAAAUGUUUACUUCUGCAUUUUUCAUUUAAGU